CAAAGAGCUCAAGUCCUCUACUUGCAUAUCCAUGGCAGUCUAUCUUCUUGCCUUGAAAGCAUAGGAGCCUCUGAGAAUGCAGGGUAGAUAAUAUCCUGUGGAUUGAUUCCCCAGCUUCACUUUGCAUAACUAUGGACUAUAGUUCCUGGAAUUACUUUAGUUUUGGCAGAAUGUGAUUUGGAAAAUUCACCUUGACUCUCUUCUAAAAAGAAUUAUAAAUUUUUUCAGGAAAUCAACUACUAAGAAAAGGACCGUUUUUAAAAUAAAGCAAUGAGGCAUAUAAACCGCAUUUAUCUAUGGGAAGAAUCUAAAGCUGGAAAGACAAAAUCAAAACAAUAAACAGAGGAAAACAUUGGAAUUCUGCUGCUUCAUUUUUAAGAGAAUCUGACAAGUUACUAAACAAUACAAGGUGAGAAUAAAAGGAAGAUAAAUGAGAUAUAUCAUUUUUCAAAAAAUGAUGUUUCAUGCUUUCUUUCACUUCUUAAAUAUCUUACACAUCUCCAGACCCUAAGUGCAAUCUCAUUUUCAUCUAUGUCUCACCUAUGAAGAAUGAGCUAAACAGGAGCAACUCAAAGGUGUCUGAAUUUAUUCUGGUGGGAUUUAGAACACUCCCAAAGCUACAGGUCUUCUUAUUCCUGGUGUUCUUGAUGUUUUACAUGGUUAAUGUGGUGGGAAAUACAAUCAUGAUAACUGUAAUGAAGAUGGAUUACAAGUCUUUGCUAUUGUGAACAGUGAUGCAAUAAACAUAUGUGUGCAUGUGUCUUUAUAAUA